GGGGGUAUCGUUCAAUGGUAGGACAGCGGUCUCCAAAACCGCCAAUCUGGGUUCAAUUCCUAGUGCCCCCG
rnacentral:tRNA from 1 species